rnacentral:rRNA from 1 species
GUAGGUGGCAAGCGUUGUCCGGAAUUAUUGGGCGUAAAGCGCGCGCAGGUGGUUCUUUAAGUCUGAUGUGAAAGCCCCCGGGCUCAACCGGGGAGGGUCAUUGGAAACUGGGGAACUUGAGUGCAUGAGAGGAAAGUGGAAUUCCACGUGUAGCGGUGAAAUGCGUAGAUAUGUGGAGGAACACCAGUGGCGAAGGCGACUUUCUGGCCUGUAACUGACACUGAGGCGCGAAAGCGUGGGGAGCAAACAGGAUUAGAUACCCUGGUAGUCCACGCCGUAAACGAUGAGUGCUAAGUGUUGGGGGGUUUCCGCCCCUCAGUGCUGCAGCUAACGCAUUAAGCACUCCGCCUGGGGAGUACGGUCGCAAGACUG